CAUCACCACACAAAUCAAAGGCUUCUCUCUGGCUUCAAAAGGAACAGGAACAGGAUACUUUGUGUUGGGAGUUCUGCACUGAGCGGGAACUAUGCUGUGCCUGUUUGAGUGAGUUGUUCACUGGGUAUCCUGGCUUCGUGCCCUGCCUGACAGCUGCAGGGGUUCUGUAAGAAAUCUGGGGGAGAAUUUCCUCUGCAGCCAUGACUGAGAACCCAGGAUCAAGAGCUUUGCAGACAGAACCCCCCCUCACUCCACCCCCCGACUAGCCCAUCGCUUAUUAGGCUCAAUAAACAACAGGCAAAAGCCGGACAGCUGGCCCUUUGGCCCUGGAUAGGGGGAAAAAAAGCAUUUCGCUGGGAUCUAGCUAGCUGGCUCCUUUUACUAAUUGAGAGCAACCGCACGGCACUUAAAAAUAAGUUGUUGUUUUAAAGCUAGAGUAUUUCAAAUAAACAGCAACCUUCAGAAAACAACAACGUUCAGAAUGAUACCUAUGGCCCCAGAUCAGUUAAUGUUAGGCUGACCCACUAGGAAGCCCACAGAUAAGGCACAGAAGCCCAUCUCACUCAAGCCCACAGUCAUGUGGAAGGAAAUGACUGCACGGAUGAUGGUGGCCACCAACAGGCCCUGUAGGGUCUUUAAGUGAACACAGGACUCACAGAUCAGCUAGACUGGAUGGCUGACUAGCUCCAUGCCUAUUUCUGCCUUCCCAGUAUUAGGAUUGCAGACCCACGGUCGUCUGCCCGACACUGUGUCUGGGUGCCAGACAUCCAAAAUCAGGUCUUCAUGCCUGUGCAGCAAACACUGUACUGACUGAGCCGUCUCCCUGGGCCCGGCAAGCAAUUGUGGAGUCGUUCUACAUGUUUAGUGCAAGAAGCAGUGUGAAUAGAAACGGAUCCUGCCCAAGUGAACCUGACCCCAUGGCAGAGAUCCGUGACUUUACACCAGAGUAAACACCCUCUUAUACUACAUUUCCCAGUUUCCCUUGCAGUGACAGCCCCAGUCUGUGGAAAGCAUGAUGGUGACUGGGCCUGGCCCAUAGGAACCUCCUUCCUCUGUCAUGUUUUUGUGUGAUGAGAUUACCAAUACAACCUUGGACGCCACCAGUGGAAACAGCCAAGUUGCUUCCUCUGAUGAGAAGCACAUGGGUUUGGCUGUUCCAUGAUCAAGAGUCAAAACUAAAUUGCGUUUGAGAAUUUUCACAUUUAUGAAUUCAUUGUUUUGAACUGCUAAGUAUAGCUUUAAAAAUUCCGCCAUGUGAAUGCCCACCUGGGAUUCUUUUGUUCUUACUGAAAGAAUUAAACGUAAAGUUUGCUUCUGAUUAAACUGAACUGCUUUUUUGGUAACAACUUUAAAAACUGGGAGGCUUUGGAUGAAGAGCGUUCCUCCGCUGACUGAAUGACAGAAAGCGGCAAUGUCACUUGCCACACACUGUCCACAAAAGGGUCAUUCAACCCUAAUCUGAUCUGUAGAGAGAACGUCUGCUAUACUGUACGGAGGCAACGCCUGUCAGUUAAAAAGCCUUUGGCCUAUGGCUUACGCAGGAAGUAGAGGUGGAGACAGGCACUGGAGCUCAACCUGGGAAGAAGUGAGGAGACAGAUGCACGGCCCCUGAGCACAGUACCCGGGGAGGAAUGGUUUGUCUCAAAGAUUAUCCCAAGAUAGCAGGCUACAGAUCUAAGAGAGUGGAUCUUGUUGUUGAAAUUCCAGGCACUAUGGUAAGCUUUGGGGGGUUGGGGGGGAUAUGCCUGGCAUUUCCCAAAGCCCACAACACAGGCCGCUGCCAAUCCUAUCCUCCCACUGGUACAACUGACUUUGGCAUCCGAACUUCAAAUUUGAGCUGCAGCCACUAUAGCAAGUCUGAUUGAAGGCUGCAUAUGUUAAGGAGACACGUUUGUGUUGCACAUCGUUAAUACCCAGAAACAGAAUAUCUUGCAAUCUCAGAAGAUUGCAAGGAAACCACUCACUGAAGUGCGCUUUGGAUAGUAAAAAUUUAAAAUAAUAACCAAAAUCUCCACCACACGAAAGAUAGUCUCUGUAAAUCACACGUUAAACCCCAAAGAGGUUGCUGUGGUACGGUUUGCCUGCGACGUGAAGGUAGGAACGCUGCCAGGUAAAAGCCAGCCGGGGCUACACAUAGAAAGACUCUGUCUCAUAAUACCAGCCAGGCAUGGUGGUACAUACUUGCAAUCUUAGCACUCAAGAGGUGGAGGCAGGAGGAUUGCUGCAAGUUUGAAGCCUGGGUUAUAUUGUAAAACCCUGUCUCAAACAAAACAAAACAAAACGAACUAAACUAAACUAAACCAAACCAAACCAAACUAAACUGGAACAAAACCAAAACAAAUCACAACAAAAAUCAAGGGCAGAGGAUUUGGUUCAGUGGCAAGGUGCGUGUCUGUCGUGCACAGGGUUCUGGGUUCAAUCCCGAGCCCUACAAAAGCAUAAGCAACAACGACAAGUCCAAAUGAAUUGUACGAUAUCACUGUCUUCUCUAAGAUUCGUAUGCAUGUCCAUCCUGGAAGAAACAAGAUGGUCACUGAGGCUAGAGAUGUGAAGAAGCCAUUCAGUCAGCAAGGGAAACCUGUCAUCUGACUAUGUUCCUGCCUAUGCUGCCACCGUGUUCAAGAUAGAUGAGAGCUGCCCAAACGGGGGAGAAUUCACACACAAAGCAAGAUAAUGCUGCUAAUCACAUAGCCCUGGGAAGCAAAUGAACUACCAUAGAACCCAAGAACAUUAAAGACAAGAAUCAACUACUGGAUAACGUACAGGAAGUUGUAGUUAACUAAUCACCAAGUCUGGUGGGAAGCACGGUGAUCCUGAUUUUUGAUAAGAAGCUUUGACCCAGGCUUAUCUGUUUAUCUGUCUAAAAAAACAAAAAAACAAAAAAACAAAAAACAAACAAACAAAAAAAACCAGCCUUGUGGGUGAAUAACUUUACCGGCCAAGUAAUGAUUAAAGGCAUUCUAGAACUGAGAGAAACUCUAGGAAAUUUAAUAAUAAUAAAAAAAAAAAGGUUUCAUGUGAGGCAGAACUCAUUCAACCUACUGACUUAUAGAUAGCAAGUCAUCCAUUCAAAUAGUUAAAACUUCAUAAGGCUCCAAAAGAAACUCUGCACACAUGUAAUAGCUAAUUCUGCUUAACAACAUUUGAAAUAUGACCCUCGUCAGAGAUUAGAAGCAGUCUAAUUAGAGCUGAGUGUUGAUAGGCUUAAAGUCGAGCACCGCGGUUUGUAAACGGGUCUUUUUGGACUGCAAAGUCAGGGUCCUGUUGUUUGGAAAUAAUAAAGUUAAGAUAGACGCAUCUCAAAAAUCCUGUUUCUAAAACGCUAGGCCUGGGUUGUACAUUGAGCCUUUAUCUUUGUCAAAAAAAAAAAAAAAAAAAAAAAGAGAGAGAGAGAGAGAGAGAGAGAGAGAGAGAGAGAGACAGAUACUGCUAUAAUUACCAACAGCAAGGGUUUUGAUAUCUAUGAUUUUAGAGAACAAUGUUUCUGAGUGAAUAGGAAAGCAGCAGCCACUCAGAGAAGGGAGUGAUUAUGACAUAUACAGCUGCAGUAUGUCCUCAGAAGACACCGCAUCCUGUUAACUCCGCAGCUGGCUUUAUCCGUGCCUAUUACCCCAGCCUGAUGAGCAGCUGGGCAGAUUUUUUACCUUCUUGGUUUGAGCUAAAUUUCACUUUCCCAUGGCAAUCCGAAAUGCCAAACGCUGUAUGAAGUGUCUGGCAGACAUUUUACUUAGUCUCUGCAGCGAUCCUUUGAAGCAAGGGCUAGCCUCCUGUUUUACAGACGAGGACAGCGAGCGAGGCUCGGGGAUUUUGAGAUGGUUAACACAAGGUCGCAGAGGAACCCCCCGGAGCAAUCUCAGAUCUGGGCCAGGCUUAUUCUAGUCCUUCCUUUGUCCUCCUUUUCUCCUUUUCCUCUUCUUUAAAGCAUCUCUUCUCCCCUUUUUUUGAAAAUUUGCUAUGUAUCCCAGCUGGCCUCACACUUGGUAUAUUUCUCUCGCUGCAGCUUCUCAAGGGAUGGGUUAUAUAGGUGUUAGCGACCAUGCCCGCCUCUAGCCUACUCUUCUUAACAUCUAUCCUUCAACCCUACUCAAUUUAAAAUAGAUAAAACCAUGGCAGUUUGUAGGGAGGUAGAAGGCUCAUGUCCUAUAGGAUCACAGUGUGGGGACAGUUUUCUGCAGGUCAGUUUGGCAAACAAUGUACAUUCUAACUUAGCAAUUAAUCUAAGGAUUUAAGAAAAUAAUCUCCAAGCUGCAUGGAGGGCCGUGGUUAUAGAAUUAUUAAAAAAAAAUAAACACAAAAUCCCUGAAACACUGUAAACAAACUUGUAUAAUACUGUGUAAAGGCAUCUAACCAUUAAUGAUGAAAUUAUAUUGUUCAGCAAAAGAUACCAGAGUACCAAUAAACAUAGUGUAAUUUUAUUUUUGUACAUAAAAUUGAAUAAUAAGAGUUGGGAAUCUAGCGCAGUCAGUAGAUUGCUUGCCUUAUACACACGAGGCUCUGGCUUCCUUCCCAGCAUAUAGGGGGAGGGUGCAAAAGUACCACAACAAAAUUGAGUAUAUGUACAAAUCUACAUAUGUAUACAAUGUGUGGAAAGGUAUUCACUAUAAUUUUAUCUGGCUCACCAGUUGUUUUUUUCUUCAUUUCAUGUAUAUGUGUAGUGUGUGCACAGAUAUAAGUAUUAGGGCAUGCCUGUGAAUGCACACAUGGAUGCUUGAAUAACAGUCAGGUGUUUUCCUAUAUCACUGUCUCGACAAAAGACAGGGUCUCUCACUGACCCAGAACCUCACCAUUAGACUGGUUAGGCAGUGAGCUCCUGGGAUCUGCUGGUCUCUGCCCCCCAUUGUUGAAACUUAGGCAUACAUGUUUACAUGUGUUUCUGUUGUUGUUUGCUUUUGUUUGGAAUGGGUGUUGGGGACUCAAACUCAGGUUUGCAAACUCAAAAAGCAAAUGUUCUUACCCACUUAACUUUUUCCCUGUCCUCUUUAUUUUUUUAAAAAACUCUCCUUAUUUAUAUAUGAGUCAGUAUCAUUGUUAUAAAACAAAACUAUUUGAAAAAGCCAACAGUUAAGUCAGCUCUUGCCUUAACAACUAAAGUGCUUGAUGUAUACUAGCCAUGUG
ensembl:lncRNA